rnacentral:rRNA from 13 species
CUGAGAGUUUGAUCCUGGCUCAGAACGAACGCUGGCGGCAGGCUUAACACAUGCAAGUCGAACGAACUCUUCGGAGUUAGUGGCAGACGGGUGAGUAACGCGUGGGAAUAUACCUUUCGGUACGGAACAACAGUUGGAAACGACUGCUAAUACCGUAUGCGCCCUAUGGGGGAAAGAUUUAUCGCCGAAGGAUUAGCCCGCGUUGGAUUAGCUAGUUGGUGGGGUAAAGGCCUACCAAGGCGACGAUCCAUAGCUGGUCUGAGAGGAUGAUCAGCCACACUGGGACUGAGACACGGCCCAGACUCCUACGGGAGGCAGCAGUGGGGAAUAUUGGACAAUGGGCGCAAGCCUGAUCCAGCCAUGCCGCGUGAGUGAUGAAGGCCCUAGGGUUGUAAAGCUCUUUCAGCGAGGAGGAUAAUGACGUUACUCGCAGAAGAAGCCCCGGCUAACUUCGUGCCAGCAGCCGCGGUAAUACGAAAGGUGCAAGCGUUAAUCGGAAUUACUGGGCGUAAAGC